UGGGGAAUAUUGCGCAAUGGGCGAAAGCCUGACGCAGCGACGCCGCGUGAGGGAUGAAGGUUUUCGGAUCGUAAACCUCUGUCAGAAGGGAAGAAACCGCACUGUGCUAAUCAGCAGUGCCUUGACGGUACCUUCAAAGGAAUCACCGGCUAACUCCGUGCCAGCAGCCGCGGUAAUACGGAGGGUGCAAGCGUUAAUCGGAAUUACUGGGCGUAAAGCGCACGUAGGCUGCUUUGUAAGUCAGGGGUGAAAUCCCACGGCUCAACCGUGGAACUGCCUUUGAUACUGCUUAGCUUGAAUCCGGGAGAGGGUGGCGGAAUUCCAGGUGUAGGAGUGAAAUCCGUAGAUAUCUGGAGGAACAUCAGUGGCGAAGGCGGCCACCUGGACCGGUAUUGACGCUGAGGGGCGAAAGCGUGGGGAGCAAACAGG
rnacentral:rRNA from 1 species